rnacentral:rRNA from 1 species
GCAUUAGCUAGUUGGUAAGGUAACGGCUUACCAAGGCAACGAUGCAUAGCCGACCUGAGAGGGUGAUCGGCCACACUGGAACUGAGACACGGUCCAGACUCCUACGGGAGGCAGCAGUAGGGAAUCUUCCGCAAUGGGCGAAAGCCUGACGGAGCAACGCCGCGUGAGUGAUGAAGGUCUUCGGAUCGUAAAACUCUGUUAUUAGGGAAGAACAUAUGUGUAAGUAACUGUGCACAUCUUGACGGUACCUAAUCAGAAAGCCACGGCUAACUACGUGCCAGCAGCCGCGGUAAUACGUAGGUGGCAAGCGUUAUCCGGAAUUAUUGGGCGUAAAGCGCGCGUAGGCGGUUUUUUAAGUCUGAUGUGAAAGCCCACGGCUCAACCGUGGAGGGUCAUUGGAAACUGGAAAACUUGAGUGCAGAAGAGGAAAGUGGAAUUCCAUGUGUAGCGGUGAAAUGCGCAGAGAUAUGGAGGAACACCAGUGGCGAAGGCGACUUUCUGGUCUGUAACUGACGCUGAUGUGCGAAAGCGUGGGGAUCAAACAGGAUUAGAUACCCUGGUAGUCCACGCCGUAAACGAUGAGUGCUA